ensembl:lncRNA
AAUUUCGUUAGCUUCUCAACCAAAGAUGUGAGAAAUUGCUGUGUAAUUCCACACACAGUGUUCAUGAGCAGACCUACCAUGGGAUUUAAGUACCCCAGUUCUACAGAGAAUCGCAGAUUCCGAGCCAAGGUCUUAGUCUUGAAGGUUGACACAUAACAGAGUGACUGAGUGUCCCUGCAGAGAAGACUCACACUGUGUAACCCGCUUAGAAAACUACGUUCUCCUCGCCAAGCAGGCAAAGCGAGACAGACACCAACAUCCCUGAGAAUGAACACAAAGGGCCCGAAUGCUGGGGAGCACGAAGCCACGGAGAGGUGUCCACUGCCCUGUAAUGACAAGCCCAGCCCUCCAAGCAGGCGAGGCAGGAGAGCGUGAAGACGAGGAGACGGGGCCCAGCAGGAUCCAGACGGGGCACGGGGCUCUGGGCCGGCCUGAGGGGAAGGCGGCUGCUGCAAACACUCUGGAUUUACAGCUUGUCCGGGGUGAGGAUGACGGCGCUCCCGGCCCAGGCGCUCCCGGCCCAGACUGUGAGGCCCUAGCACACGCGAAGUCCCCUGCGGCUAUCUCGACACCACACGGAGACCUCUCUGGACAGAGUGAAGGCAGUACCCGUAAUUUACUGCCACACUGAAGUCUUUGUGGUUUAACAGACACAAAUGUGUUUGUUAAGAGACGCAGGAUCCAACCAAAAAACAGCAGAGGCCAACAUCCUCCAGGGAUCUAACCCAGAGCUCCCCCCAUCAGGACAAGCCGCAUCCCUUGCCUCACCACAAACUGCAGGUGCGUGUACUUCCUGCCAGACAAGCCUCCUCCCCGCCUCGUGCCCCCGGCACCUUGGUCAUCAAGGCACAGUCAGUUCCUCCAAUUCUCCCUUCUCUCUCAGCUUCCUGGUCCCUGGGUUCGUCCUCCGGGUGUGUCACGCCUCAUUUCCAGGGGAACUGCGAGUAUCCUUAAAACUUUUCUUCAAUGGCACCGACCUCUCUGUGACAAGAGUCAGCUUUACAAAGACGCGGGCACAGAGCAAACACUUGGGGCAAGCGGUGCCAAGGCUACCUCCUCUGCCUACCCUGUGACAAUAGCAGACACGCUUAUAUCCACUGUCAUUCAGGAAAUACCUCCAUCCCCAAACGGCCACUGUCUGCAGGAUACUUCUGGAGAAAACCCCCGUGGAGGUGGCAAAGGCCAGCUGGUUGAGAAGCACAUCUGUGGGCAUUUUGUGUGCAGUGAACAAACAAAAGUUAUGAAGACAAAUGAGGGAGGUGUCUUCCAGAAGCGCUGCUCCUUUUGAUAUAUUUUCACCAGGCCCAGGGCAUGUGGAAGUUCCCCGGCCGGGGAUCAAACCUGUGCCUCAGCAGUGACCUGAGCCACACAGAGACAAUGUCACAUCCUUCAUCUGCAGCACCACAGAGGGAAGUCCAGAUCAAGGAAUCUUUGUUUCAAUAGAAACAUGACCAUUGUUAGAUCCAUAUUAACAAGGAUAAAGGGAGGAGUUCCCGCCGUGGCACAGCGGAAACGAAUCCGACUAGGAACCCUGAGGUUGCGGGUUUGAUCCCUGGCCUUACUCAGUGGGUUAAGGAUCCAGCAUUGCUGCUGCUGUGGUGUAGGCCGGCAGCUAUAGUUAUGAUUUGACCUAUGAUUUCUAGCCUG